rnacentral:rRNA from 1 species
AUGGAGUCCGUCGCGAUCGCCACCACCUCCCGCGCCCUCGCGCCGCCCUUCCCCUCCGCGGCUCUCCGGCGCCGGCGCCGCGCCGCCUCCUUCGUCCCGGUCGCGGCCGCCUCCAAGCGUGCGCGCCCCUAUCCCGUCCCGUGCGUCUCGUUUCUACUGCUGCUGCGCCGGUGCUCACGCCCCCGUUUGCCUUGCCUUGCAGGGAGAGACGGCGGCGAGGGGGAGGAUGCCGGAGCCCACAAGCCGCCCAGGCCGCCGUCUUCGGGGGGCGAGCCCACGGGCCUCGCGCCGUACGGCCUCUCCUUCUCGCCCUUCUCCAAGGACGCGGCCAUGGGGCUGGUGAUGAGCGCGGCGACGGGGAGCGGCUGGACGACAGGGUCGGGGAUGGAGGGUCCGCCGAUGGCCGGCGGCGCCGCGAACCGGCCGGAGGUGUCGACGCUGCCGUGGUCGCUCUUCACAAAGUCCCCGCGCCGGCGGAUGCGGGUGGCCUUCACCUGCAACGUAUGCGGGCAGCGGACCACACGCGCCAUCAACCCGCACGCCUACACCGACGGCACCGUGUUCGUUCAGUGCUGCGGGUGCAACAUCUUCCACAAGCUGGUGGACAACCUGAACCUGUUCCACGAGAUGAAGUGCUACGUCGGGCCCGACUUCCGCUACGAGGGGGACGCUCCAUUCAACUACCUUGAGGGUGGGGACGACGACAGCGGCAACAUCUUCCCACUUCUCUAG